AUUGAACGCUGGCGGAAUGCUUUACACAUGCAAGUCGAACGGCAGCACGGGGGCAACCCUGGUGGCGAGUGGCGAACGGGUGAGUAAUACAUCGGAACGUGCCCAGUCGUGGGGGAUCACGUAGCGAAAGUUACGCUAAUACCGCAUACGAUCUACGGAUGAAAGCGGGGGACCGUAAGGCCUCGCGCGAUUGGAGCGGCCGAUGUCAGAUUAGGUAGUGGGUGAGGUAAAGGCCCACCAAGCCGACGAUCUGUAGCUGGUCUGAGAGGACGACCAGCCACACUGGGACUGAGACACGGCCCAGACUCCUACGGGAGGCAGCAGUGGGGAAUUUUGGACAAUGGGCGCAAGCCUGAUCCAGCCAUUCCGCGUGCAGGACGAAGGCCUUCGGGUUGUAAACUGCUUUUGUACGGAACGAAAAGGCUCUGGUUAAUACCUGGGGCUCAUGACGGUACCGUAAGAAUAAGCACCGGCUAACUACGUGCCAGCAGCCGCGGUAA
rnacentral:rRNA from 1 species